CCAGACUCCUACGGGAGGCAGCAGUGGGGAAUAUUGGGCAAUGGGCGCAAGCCUGACCCAGCAACGCCGCGUGAAGGAAGAAGGCUUUCGGGUUGUAAACUUCUUUUGUCAGGGACGAAGCGAGUGACGGUACCUGACGAAUAAGCCACGGCUAACUACGUGCCAGCAGCCGCGGUAAUACGUAGGUGGCAAGCGUUGUCCGGAUUUACUGGGUGUAAAGGGCGUGUAGCCGGGAAGGCAAGUCAGAUGUGAAAUCCGGAGGCUCAACCUCCGAAUUGCAUUUGAAACUGUUUUUCUUGAGUACUGGAGAGGCAGACGGAAUUCCUUGUGUAGCGGUGAAAUGCGUAGAUAUAAGGAGGAACACCAGUGGCGAAGGCGGCCUGCUGGGCUUUAACUGACGCUGAGGCUCGAAAGCGUGGGGAGCAAACAGGAUUAGAUACCCGAGUA
rnacentral:rRNA from 1 species